GUUAGAUGAUUCUGAUUUCUAGACAUAGAGUUUGACGCGGUGCGGUUGAAGGAAGGAGGAAGAUCCACACCCAACAGAAGCAUAUUGAUUAAG
rnacentral:misc_RNA from 1 species